rnacentral:tRNA from 1 species
CUGUAGCUCAGCUGGUUAGAGCACCGUCUUGAUAAGGCGGGGGUCGUUGGUUCGAGCCCAACUAG